rnacentral:lncRNA from 1 species
GGGUGGAGAAUGGGAUCACCCCCCAAAGAAAUGAUGAGCUCAUUAGAUUUAAGGGCUUAUAAGUUGUUCAAAGAUUGCUUCAGUUUCAUUCUAGAGCCUUUGGAUGACAGGUAAGGCCAUUUAAGCCGCACCCAGGGUACUAAGCAGUGUAACCUGUGGAAUGGAGUGUGUCUAGGCCAGUCUUGCCCUCGGGGAGUCUAAGUCUAGGAACCUGUGUGUCCUGAACCCAGAAUUGGCCCUGGACAUACAAGGAUCAGGUAAGGUUGCCUGAAAAAAGGGGGCCAGUGAUUAUGUAU